GAUGAACGCUGGCGGCGUGCCUAAUACAUGCAAGUCGAGCGAACAGACGAGGAGCUUGCUCCUCUGACGUUAGCGGCGGACGGGUGAGUAACACGUGGAUAACCUACCUAUAAGACUGGGAUAACUUCGGGAAACCGGAGCUAAUACCGGAUAAUAUAUUGAACCGCAUGGUUCAAUAGUGAAAGACGGUUUUGCUGUCACUUAUAGAUGGAUCCGCGCCGCAUUAGCUAGUUGGUAAGGUAACGGCUUACCAAGGCAACGAUGCGUAGCCGACCUGAGAGGGUGAUCGGCCACACUGGUACUGAGACACGGUCCAGACUCCUACGGGAGGCAGCAGUAGGGAAUCUUCCGCAAUGGGCGAAAGCUUGACGGAGCAACGCCGCGUGAGUGAUGAAGGUCUUCGGAUCGUAAAACUCUGUUAUUAGGGAAGAACAAAUGUGUAAGUAACUAUGCACGUCUUGACGGUACCUAAUCAGAAAGCCACGGCUAACUACGUG
rnacentral:rRNA from 1 species